UGGCCAAAUGGUGACAGCUACUGGUGUCUGAGCCAUGGUUGAUGAAUGGUAUGUUUUUGCAACUCUGAGGUCCAA
ensembl:snoRNA small nucleolar RNA SNORD113/SNORD114 family